CUCCAGAAGUCCCCUGAAACUCUGAACCUGAUCAGAAUUCAAGAUGGAAGCUUCUUUGACCCCAGCAGAACUAUUAGAUAGCUCAGAUGGUUCAAGUCUCUACCAAUGAAAUCAAACUCUGGAGUUUACACCUCACUCCAAACAUUUCUCUUUGUGCAGAAGAAAAUUGUACCAAACUCAAGGCCACCCCAGGAUGGUUGAUGUGUAAAUGUUUUUAUGUCUCUACUCAGGAAAGAACAUCCUCUCCCUCACUUCUCUACAUUGUAUUCUAUAUGGACCACUUCAGUGAUAGCUCCUUGAGCCCUACAGAGAAAGUCAGCUACAGUGAAUAAAUAAGGCUUGGGUAACUAUUA
rnacentral:lncRNA from 1 species